CCCUGCAUCAAAAGUACCAAACACAGAUGGUUCCCGUCCACCAGCCGAAAAUUGGUUGUACGUGUUACGCCUGUUCUCGUCAAGUACAAAUUGUCUUUUCCCAUAUUUCAUUGAAUUACCUUUAAACAUAGAGCCUUCAUCAUUCUUCUCAAAUUUGUUGUCAGUCAACCAAUAAGCAUCAUUGUGAGAACCAUGAGAUCGUCCUGAUGAAUCUGCCAAGCUAGACUUGUCUAAAACAUAAGGUCCUUUUCUCAGAUCAUUAUUGGACCAGA
rnacentral:misc_RNA from 1 species